UCUGAACCAAGCCAUGCCGCGUGCAGGAAGACUGCCCUAUGGGUUGUAAACUGCUUUUAUCCGGGAAUAAACCACAUUACGUGUAAUGUGCUGAAUGUACCGGAAGAAUAAGGAUCGGCUAACUCCGUGCCAGCAGCCGCGGUAAUACGGAGGAUCCAAGCGUUAUCCGGAUUUAUUGGGUUUAAAGGGUGCGUAGGCGGCCUGUUAAGUCAGGGGUGAAAGACGGUAGCUCAACUAUCGCAGUGCCCUUGAUACUGAUGGGCUUGAAUGGACUAGAGGUAGGCGGAAUGAGACAAGUAGCGGUGAAAUGCAUAGAUAUGUCUCAGAACACCGAUUGCGAAGGCAGCUUACUAUGGUCUUAUUGACGCUGAGGCACGAAAGCGUGGGGAUCAAACAGGAUUAGAUACCCUGGUAGUCCACGCCCUAAACGAUGAACACUCGCUGUUGGCGAUACACAGUCAGCGGCUAAGCGAAAGCGUUAAGUGUUCCACCUGGGGAGUACGCUCGCAAGAGUGAAACUC
rnacentral:rRNA from 1 species